rnacentral:rRNA from 1 species
CCUACGGGUGGCUGCAGUGGGGAAUAUUGGACAAUGGGCGAAAGCCUGAUCCAGCCAUGCCGCGUGUGUGAAGAAGGCCUUCGGGUUAUAAAGCACUUUCAGUGGGGAAGAAAGCCUUGGGGCUAAUACCCUCGAGGAAGGACAUCACCCACAGAAGAAGCACCGGCUAACUCCGUGCCAGCAGCCGCGGUAAUACGGAGGGUGCGAGCGUUAAUCGGAAUUACUGGGCGUAAAGCGCGCGUAGGCGGUCUGAUAAGCCGGUUGUGAAAGCCCCGGGCUCAACCUGGGAACGGCAUCCGGAACUGUCAGGCUAGAGUGCAGGAGAGGAAGGUAGAAUUCCCGGUAUAGCGGUGAAAUGCGUAGAGAUCGGGAGGAAUACCAGUGGCGAAGGCGGCCUUCUGGACUGACACUGACGCUGAGGUGCGAAAGCGUGGGUAGCAAACAGGAUUAGAUACCCCAGUAGUC